UGCUCAUGAUGUCAAUCACUGGGUCACUGGUCCAGACUCGAUUAUUUUACAGACCGCCGUCAUAUAGCUGGAAUAUUGCUGAGUGCGGCGUUAAACAACAAACAAACAAACAAACAAACAAAACUAGACGCUGAGUGAAACAAUUUGUACUCAAAAACCUACCACUGCAGGUAUUCUCAAUAACCCAUCACUGCAGGUAUUCUCAAUACCCAUCACUGUAGGUAUUCUCAAUAACCCAUCACUGCAGGUACUCUCAAUAACCCAUCACUGCAGGUAUUCUCAAUAACCUAUCACUGCAGGUAUUCUCAAUAACCCAUCACUGCAGGUAUUCUCAAUAACUCAUCACGGCAGGUAUUCUCAAUACCCAUCACUGUAGGUAUUCUCAAUAACCCAUCACUGCAGGUACUCUCAAUAACCUAUCACUGCAGGUAUUCUCAAUAACCCAUCACUGCAGGUAUUCUCAAUAACCCAUCACUGUAGGUACUCUCAAUAACCUAUCACUGCAGGUAUUCUCAAUUACCCAUCACUGCAGGUAUUCUCAAUAACCCAUCACUGUGGGUAUUCUCAAUAAUCCAUCACUGCAGGUAUUCUCAAUAACCCAUCACUGCAGGUACUCUCAAUAACCCAUCACUGUGUGUAUUCUCAAUAACCCAUCACUGCAGGUAUUCUCAAUAACCCAUCACUGUUGGUAUUCUCAAUAACCCAUCUCUGUGGGUAUUUUCAAUAACCCAUCACUGUGGGAUUUUCUCAAUAACCCAUCACUGCAGGUAUUCUCAAUAACCCAUCACUGUGGGUAUUCUCAAUAACCCAUCACUGCAGGUAUUCUCAAUAACCCAUCACUGCAGGUAUUCUCAAUAACACAUCACUGUGGGUAUUCUCAAUAACCCAUCUCUGUGGGUAUUCUCAAUAACCCAUCUCUGAGGGUAUUCUCUAGACUAACAUCUAGUCUCUGAAAUGAACACAUCCUACAGUGGCUAAAUUAUUGUUAUAAAACAUAAUAAGGAGCUGAGAGACUUACAUUCUGAACACAUGUAUACCUGACAUUUUCAAAAAUUAUAUAGGUGCAAUAUGUUUCUUAAAUAUGAUUAAUAAGAACAGGGUUACAGUGUUAUGUAACAAUAUUCAUUAUGGGAAGUAGUGUAUUUUGGUAUUAAAAUUUUAGAGCCAGCUUUAGAAGCAAUUUAGUCCAGUACAUAUCUUCAGGUUUCAAGUUUUGUGUUUUAAGAAUUGUGGUGCUUUUUAAGUUAGUAUUUAAAGGGAUUCAAGUUUACUUGUUAAAGAAAUUCACUCAUGUGGGGAGUCAAACCUGGUCCUUAGGCGUGAUGAGCAAACACUUUAACCACUACCCCACCAGCCUGUUUCAGUGAGACACAAGAUAUAUGAAUGAAGAUUCACAAGGAAUACAGAAGAUGAAAUCCGCUUGUUUCGUGUCUCUAUUCACAUUAGUUACAAUUUACCGUAUUUCCUAUAAUAAGUGUCAGCCUCUGAUAAAGAGGACAGUCUGGGUUUUUUAUAAAUGAGAUUUGAUAAUGGCCUGUUGCCCCAUUUUACAAAGCGAUCAUAGCACUGUGACUAUUGCAACCCCUAUUCCUAACAUAAGCUUAUUACAGCCGUAGCCCUACAAUCGCUUUGUGAAACGGAGCUCUGUCCCCUACGGCUAAUGAUUCCUCCCCAUUACAUCAGACUGUUUGAAUACUUUGAACAUAUUUACCCGUUUUAUCCAAAUGGUACAUCACCGAAGCUUGUUUACUAUUGUAUGUGUGUAGUAAAGAUACAUCUCACUGAUUUUCAUCCAUAGGAAUUAACGAGAAUGUUUUGACAAUUAUAAGGCUCUUGUUUGUUUUAAUGUCUUCCACUGGGUAGCUGUGUAUGAAGCAUUUGAGAAUGUCAUCUGUUCAUUGCUGUAUGUCCCAAGAAAUUUCUGUUAUGCGUGUUUUCUGUAAAUUUUCGUUAAUAUUGACAGAGCCAUGUUGUUUGAAUAUCUGCUGUUUAUUUAAUGCAAUGAUUCAUUCCAUGCCUAUAGAUUACACGCCCUGAUUAUUUGAAAUAUGUGUUGUCAAGGUGGAAAUUAGAAGGUUGGAAUUGUGAAGAUGGUACACAUGAUAGUCAUGUUGUUAGGUUGAUACAUGCCAUAGUCGUGUUGUGAAACGUGUUGACUCCAUGGUCGUGUUGUGAAACGUGUUGACUCCAUGGUCGUGUUGUGAAACGUGUUGACUCCAUGGUCUUGUUGUGAAAUGCGUUCACUCCAUGGUCGUGUUGUGAAACGUGUUGACUCCAUGGUCUUGUUGUGAAAUGCGUUCACUCCAUGGUCGUGUUGUGAAACGUGUUGACUCCAUGGUCGUGUUGUGAAACGUGUUGACUCCAUGGUCUUGUUGUGAAAUGCGUUCACUCCAUGGUCGUGUUGUGAAACGUGUUGACUCCAUGGUCGUGUUGUGAAAUGCGUUCACUCCAUGGUCGUGUUGUGAAACGUGUUGACUCCAUGGUCUUGUUGUGAAAUGCGUUCACUCCAUGGUCGUGUUGUGAAACGUGUUGACUCCAUGGUCUUGUUGUGAAAUGCGUUCACUCCAUGGUCGUGUUGUGAAACGUGUUGACUCCAUGGUCGUGUUGUGAAACGUGUUGACUCCAUGGUCUUGUUGUGAAAUGCGUUCACUCCAUGGUCGUGUUGUGAAACGUGUUGACUCCAUGGUCGUGUUGUGAAAUGCGUUCACUCCAUGGUCGUGUUGUGAAACGUGUUCACUCCAUGGCCGUGUUGUGAAAUGCGUUCACUCCAUGGUCGUGUUGUGAAACGCGUUCACUCCAUGGUUGUGUUGUGAAACGUGUUCACUCCAUGGUCGUGUUGUGAAACGUGUUCACUCCAUGGUUGUGUUGUGAAACGUGUUCACUCCAUGGUCGUGUUGUGAAACGUGUUGACUCCAUGGUCGUGUUGUGAAAUGCGUUCACUCCAUGGUCGUGUUGUGAAACGUGUUCACUCCAUGGCCGUGUUGUGAAAUGCGUUCACUCCAUGGUCGUGUUGUGAAACGUGUUCACUCCAUGGUCGUGUUGUGAAACGUGUUCACUCCAUGGUCGUGUUGUGAAACGUGUUCACUCCAUGGUUGUGUUGUGAAACGGGUUCACUCCAUGGUCGUGUUGUGAAACGUGUUGACUCCAUGGUCGUGUUGUGAAAUGCGUUCACUCCAUGGUCGUGUUGUGAAACGUGUUCACUCCAUGGCCGUGUUGUGAAAUGCGUUCACUCCAUGGUCGUGUUGUGAAACGUGUUCACUCCAUGGUUGUGUUGUGAAACAUGUUCACUCCAUGGUCGUGUUGUGAAACGUGUUCACUCCAUGGUCGUGUUGUGAAACGUGUUCACUCCAUGGUUGUGUUGUGAAACGUGUUCACUCCAUGGUUGUGUUGUGAAACGUGUUCACUCCAUGGUCCCGUUGUGAAGGCGGAACAGACCAAGGUCAUGUUGUGAAGGUGGAACAGACCAAGGUCAUGUUGUUAAGAUGGAGCACUCUAUGGUCGUGUUGUGAAACGUGUUCACUCCAUGGUCAUGUUGUCAAGGUGUAACAGACCUAGGUCAUGUUGUGAACAGACCUAUGUUAUGUUGUCAAGAUUGAACACUCUGUGGUCCUGUUGUCAAGGUGGAACACUAUGUGGUCAUGUUGUCAAGGUGGAACACUCUAUGGUCCUGUUGUCAAGGUGGAACACUCCGUGGUCAUGUUGUCAAGGUGGAACACUCUGUGACCAUAUCAUAUUCCCUAUUGCAUGACACCCAGUACUGUAGUCACAAUAAUUGCAUCUUGCAACAUUCCUUGCAAAUGGAUUUUACCUAAAACUGAAGACUGGACACUUGAUUGUUUCCAGAGUGUCUGUAAAUAUAUUCAUGUGUGUUGUGCAAUAAAACAAAUUUUUCAUCGAUUAA